UAUAUAGCAUUGUAGUAUAUAGUCAUUUCAACUAAAUAAUUUCUUGGUAAUAAUACAUGUGUAGUUCAGUCUCCAAUUUGAUGCAGCUGCAGUUUAUGUGAUGUUGGAUAGUGGAGUUUGGAAGGAUAUUUCAGUGAUAAUGGGUUUUUAAUGAAUCCAAACAAAGUCUGUAGCAUGACCUUUACAUCUUGGACUGAUAUUUCUGCUGAAGAUGCUACCAAGAACAUACAAAGUCACUGGUUGACACAUAUACAACUGACCUGUUUUAAUUGACUGAUGAAAUAGAACUUAGAACUCACUGUAUUUCAGAAGCUUUAUUUGCCACUGCUUUUCAAAAUUUGUAUAGAUAGUCUAUUUAUAAAUUUA